GACGAACGCUGGCGGCGUGCCUAAUACAUGCAAGUCGAGCGAGCUGAACCAGCAGAUUCACUUCGGUGAUGACGCUGGGAACGCGAGCGGCGGAUGGGUGAGUAACACGUGGGUAACCUGCCCUAAAGUCUGGGAUACCACUUGGAAACAGGUGCUAAUACCGGAUAACAACAAUAGCUGCAUGGCUAUUGCUUAAAAGGCGGCGAAAGCUGCCGCUAAAGGAUGGACCCGGGGUGCAUUAGCUAGUUGGUAAGGUAACGGCUUACCAAGGCGACGAUGCAUAGCCGAGUUGAGGGACUGAUCGGCCACAUUGGGACUGAGACACGGCCCAAACUCCUACGGGAGGCAGCAGUAGGGAAUCUUCCACAAUGGGCGAAAGCCUGAUGGAGCAACGCCGCGUGAGUGAAGAAGGUUUUCGGAUCGUAAAGCUCUGUUGUUGGUGAAGAAGGAUAGAGGUAGUAACUGGCCCCCAUUUGACGGUAAUCAACCAGAAAGUCACGGCUAACUACGUGCCAGCCGCCGCCGUAA
rnacentral:rRNA from 1 species